UUAUCCCCACUAAACCCCCUCGCUACUUUAGAGCCAUUCAAAUGAGGUACAGCCCAUUUGAUACAGGAUACAACCUUCACUAACGGGUAAGCCCCCCCUCACACCUUAAAGUAGGCCUAAAAGCAGUCACCUUUUAAAAAGCGUCAAAGCUUAACCAUGUGCGUACUAAUUCAAAAAUUCACAUUAACCCCUUCAACUAUACUGAGAACUUCUAUAACUCUAUAGAACCUUUUAUGCUAAAACUAGUAACAAGAGAAAAUACUCUCCAAAUGCAAACAUAAGCCAGCAAGAACCCAUCACUGGCAAUUAACAGCCUUAAAUAGAAGUAGCAACCUCACUAGAAAACCCUACUCACCCAACUGUUAACCUAACACUAGAGCAUUUCAAGAAAGAUUAAAAGAAAAAGAAGGAACUCGGCAAACUUCAGUCCCGCCUGUUUACCAAAAACAUCGCCUCUUGCUCUCCAUGAGAGGUCCAACCUGCCCAGUGACUCUGUUCAACGGCCGCGGUAUCCUAACCGUGCAAAGGUAGCGUAAUCACUUGUUUUCUAAAUAAAGACCUGUAUGAAGGGUAUAACGAGGACUAAGCUGUCUCCUUUUUCCAAUCAGUGAACCUAAUCUCCCCGUGAANAANCGGGGAUUCCCACCUAAGACGAGAAGACCCUAUGGAGCUUAAAACAUAUAACACCUGCCACCAACCUUUUACUACCCAAGUAAUCUUAUAACGGCAUUCUGAUUUUAUGUUUUUGGUUGGGGUGACCGCGGAGAAAACCUCAUCCUCCGCAAUGAAAGGGGACUUCCCCUAAACAGUAAGUUACAACUUUAUGUAUCAGUAAACUGACAUCAUUGACCCAAUAAAUUGAUUAAUGAACCAAGUUACCCUAGGGAUAACAGCGCAAUCCACUUUGAGAGCCCCUAUCGACAAGUGGGCUUACGACCUCGAUGUUGGAUCGGGAUAUCCUAGUGGUGCAGCCGCUACUAAGGGUUCGUUUGUUCAACGAUUAAAAUCCCACGUGAU
rnacentral:rRNA from 1 species